GGACGAACGCUGGCGGCGUGCCUAAUACAUGCAAGUCGAACGGUCUUUCUAUGGAAGCUUGCUCCACUGAGAAGAUAGUGGCGAACGGGUGAGUAACACGUGGGUAACCUGCCCAUAAGAGGGGGAUAACAUCCGGAAACGGGUGCUAAUACCGCAUAGUUUUCUUGAUUGCAUGAUUGAGAAAGGAAAGACGGCCUUUGUGCUGUCGCUUAUGGAUGGACCCGCGGCGUAUUAGUUAGUUGGUGAGGUAACGGCUCACCAAGACGAUGAUACGUAGCCGACCUGAGAGGGUGAUCGGCCACAUUGGGACUGAGACACGGCCCAAACUCCUACGGGAGGCAGCAGUAGGGAAUCUUCCGCAAUGGACGAAAGUCUGACGGAGCAACGCCGCGUGAGUGAAAGAAGGUUUUCGGAUCGUAAAACUCUGUUGUCAGAGAAGAACAAGUUGGAGAGUAACUGCUCCAGCCUUGACGGUAUCUGACCAGAAAGCCACGGCUAACUACGUGCCAGCCGCCGC
rnacentral:rRNA from 1 species